CAUGAACAGGGCAGACCCAAUUCUGUCAGGGCCUUUAGUCUCCCCCACUCCUUCCUGCCAAAUUCCCACCCCUGCACCCCUCCUGUGGAGCAGCAGGAGCCCGCCUGUUAGGGCCUAGAAUCCUGUGUCAGCGCCCCAGCCCCGACCCCGCCAGCCUGCCGGAGCAAGCCCAGUCCCAGUCAAGCUUACCGCAGUCGGAGGGGGGCCGGGAGCACGGGAGGCCGGGCCUCGGGGCUGUGGAGCUGGCUCCCGGGAGGGUUCCUGCUCACCCAGCUCAUGGGUGCGCAACAGUGAAUGAGUUUACAGUGAAAACCAGCUGUGAGGGGUGAGCUGGACACCAUGCUGCCCCAUACACCGGGGACACAUCCUUGUGGCGAGAGUUCUUUGAGAAGUCAGAAGGAGCUGGACAGAAGGAGUCUUGGCUGCACCUAUUGACAGCUGAUGGGCGUUAACCUCUCAGAGCCUCUUCCUGCUCAGUACACGGGGGUCACGUGACGCUCAUAGAGUGUUGUAGGGAAGCAAAGAGGUGAUGCACAUUAACAAGAAAAGCAACACACACAAUGCCUGGCAUAUGCUUAGUGCUCAGUGAAGGCUGGUGCUCAGUAUUAUUAGGGAUCUCGAUGGGGAGAGAUAUCUGCACAAAUAAAUGCCACACAUUGUGAGCAGCUGCUCAAAUACCACUUCCUCCAUGCAGCCUUCAGGGAUGGACCCUCAGUACCCCGACAGGAGAUGAGAGCCUCCUCGUGGAAGUUCCUUGUGGAAGCGCUUUGCCCAUCUCUCCAUCGCAUCCUUUAUCUCGUCUUUCUGCGACUGUUUAUUGUAAUUGUUUACAUAUCUGUCUUUACAUACCAGUUUCAGGCAUGUGGAAAUUCCUCUGUGAAGCUGGGAAAGAUAUCCCCUCUAGGUUCCAUCUAAUUCUAAGGGUGAGAUUCUGUGAGAAGACAUGGAGUUUUGGCUUCUCUCUGGGCCUAUCAGGGAAGGCUUCAGGGAGGACGUGGUUUCUGAGUUGGGCCUUGAAGCCUGUGUAGGAUUUGGAACAGCAGCAGUAGGCUGCAAACCCACUUGCCCAGUCCCAGACGCAUUUUCCGGAAUGUGUAUGUGCGCCGAGCAGCAUGGGCUGUGGAGGACGGCUUGGAAUAGCCACCUAUCCCCAGACAUAGCUGGGAUUCCAGGGGACCCAGGCCUCAUCCAGGGAGGCUGGCCUGGGGCUCAGGGUGCUGUCCUGGCAUGCUCAGGGCAUGCCUCUGGGCCAGCGACAUUGGAGAAGAGCAGUGAGGCAGCCGCCACUCCUGCCACCCAGGCCUUCUGCUCGCCUCCCGCUGCCCCUAGUCCCUGACCCCCCAGGUCCCACAAUGCUCCUAUUGUCCGCAGCUCUGCCAGGCUGCCCCAGGGAGCAGCUCUGAGCCCAGGGCCUGGGCAGGGCCCUGACUCCUGGGGCACAGCCUGGGUAGAAACGCACAGUGGUCAGACCCACAUGGAACUUGGGGAAUCCUAGCAUCUGGCAGCCAGAGAAGCUUGGAAAAACGAAUCCUAGAAUUAGAAGACCCCGGGUGCUGAGGCUCCAGGCUGUGCAGACUGCAGGGAUGGCCCAGCUCACAAAGCCCUACUCCUCCCCUUUGAUUCUUUGCAUUCUAAAGUUGUUCUUGUGCCACCUGACUUCCCCAGAUCCUCGUCUUCCGGGGCUCUGCCUGUAGCCCUGGUGCAGUGUGGACAAAUUUCCUCUUGCUGAUUUGGAGCUGGUUUUGCUUUAAAACUAGAGUGGGAUUUGCUUCUAGCAACGUUAAUUAUAACUGCAAACAAUGUUGUGUUUCUAUGAGAAAGUAAAAAUGAUUUUUUUUUCCAAGUGACUGGUUA
ensembl:lncRNA